CACGCUGUUAUCCCUAAAGUAACCUACUCUUAUAAUCCUUAAUAAAGGAUCAAUCUAUACUAAAUACUUUUAUCUCUAUUAACAAACAGUUACACUUAUAUUUUCAUCGCCCCAACGCAACAAAGUGAAGGUACCUUUAUUUAAACUUAAAUUUAAAAACCACCUUACCUAUGUAAAGUUUUAUAGGGUCUUAUCUUCCCACUAAGAAAUCUAAGCCUUUUCACUUAAAAGUUAAAUUCAAUUUUUAUAAAAAAGACAGACUACUUCUUGUGCGACCAUUCAUUCCAGCCUCCAAUUAAGAG
rnacentral:rRNA from 1 species